rnacentral:rRNA from 1 species
CAAUGGGGGAAACCCUGAUGCAGCGACGCCGCGUGGAGGAAGAAGGUUUUCGGAUUGUAAACUCCUGUCGUUAGGGACGAUAAUGACGGUACCUGACUAAGAAGCACCGGCUAAAUACGUGCCAGCAGCCGCGGUAAUACGUAUGGUGCAAGCGUUAUCCGGAUUUACUGGGUGUAAAGGGAGCGUAGGUGGCAAGGCAAGCCAGAAGUGAAAACCCGGGGCUCAACCCCGGGACUGCUUUUGAAACUGUGGAGCUGGAGUGCAGGAGAGGCAAGUGGAAUUCCUAGUGUAGCGGUGAAAUGCGUAGAUAUCGGGAGGAACACCAGUGGCGAAGGCGGCCUACUGGACAGUAACUGACGUUGAGGCUCGAAAGCGUGGGGAGCAAACAGGAUUAGAUACCCGGUAGUCCAAGGGCGAAUUC